GGUUAAGCGACUAAGCGUACACGGUGGAUGCCCUGGCAGUCAGAGGCGAUGAAGGACGUGCUAAUCUGCGAUAAGCGUCGGUGAGGUGAUAUGAACCGUUAUAACCGGCGAUUUCCGAAUGGGGAAACCCAGUGUGUUUCGACACACUAUCAUUAACUGAAUCCAUAGGUUAAUGAGGCGAACCGGGGGAACUGAAACAUCUAAGUACCCCGAGGAAAAGAAAUCAACCGAGAUUCCCCCAGUAGCGGCGAGCGAACGGGGAGGAGCCCAGAGCCUGAAUCAGUGUGUGUGUUAGUGGAAGCGUCUGGAAAGGCGCGCGAUACAGGGUGACAGCCCCGUACACAAAAAUGCACAUAUUGUGAGCUCGAUGAGUAGGGCGGGACACGUGGUAUCCUGUCUGAAUAUGGGGGGACCAUCCUCCAAGGCUAAAUACUCCUGACUGACCGAUAGUGAACCAGUACCGUGAGGGAAAGGCGAAAAGAACCCCGGCGAGGGGAGUGAAAAAGAACCUGAAACCGUGUACGUACAAGCAGUGGGAGCCUCUU
rnacentral:rRNA from 1 species